AAGCCAUUUCAUGAGCAGGGAGUUGUAAAUGUUCUCAUUCUGUUACCUGCUGAGCUCCUGGUGAGAGAGGAGACCCAAGCUCUAGAUUCAUUCUGAUCUAACAAGUGCCCUACCCUCUCAGCAGUGAGUGGCCUCCCAUGGGUACUGGGACCCACACUCAGGAGCUCUGGACUGCUAAGCCACUGAUACAGUCCCAAGGUCCCCACGUAACAGGAACUGGAAGAAGGAAACGGUUUUUUUUGCCUGCUUGUCCCACUCUCACUGACAUCUAUCCUGUUGCUGAGGCAUUCCUCACCAGCAGUCAGGAUUCCAACAAAGACUGAAAACCAGCAGCUCUCCAGGAAUUCUCCAGGUUUUCAGUGCCAGGCAAUAUACGACAAUGGUGGAUGAUGUAUGGCCAGAAGACUUACUGGAUAACUGUUGUUAUGAUGUUACUGAGCAGAGCAUUAAGCAGGGGCAUACGGCACCUAGCAAUACAUGGAUGCUCAAGACACUUUGAGGAUUCCAGUGUGUCUGCAUAGUCACUACUGCUCAACCAGUGGUGAGCCUUUCUCCUGUCCCAGAAUGGAAAAUUGAAGAAGAUGCAUUUGACAGUGGGCCCAACUUGGAUUCCUUGGCCUGUGGAUGAAAGUUAAUGAAGUGGGGCAGGGACCAGGGAGGUGCACACCACCACAUCCAGCUGUUUGUGGGUUCUGAGCUCCAAACCCAGGCCCCCACGCUUGUACAGUGAUGGGGGAAAUACUUCUGUGUAUGUUUAUAAAUAAAGUACUUGCUUGGCCAAUGAGACAGCAGGUUAGGCUGGACUAGGAGUCAAAGAGGAUUCUGGGAAAUGUAGUAGAGAAGUGGUGUUCCAGACAGGAAGUGACAUAGCAGGGAGACUCAUAUUUAAGAAGAGGAAAAAGAAAGUGUCGCGCCCUUUUCCCCUCGACUCCUGCUCCAGCCGCACAAUGUGAUCCACCAGCAAGGAGGGACGCCAAUAAGGCGUCCGAUAAGAUAAGUCUUAUAAAAUAUAUAGAUGUAUGAUAAUUGAGACUGAGCUAACAGAUGAGAAUCCUAGUCAUUGGCCAAGCAGCACUAUAACUAAUACAAGUCUCUCUGUGUAUUCAUUUGGGCCUAACUCGGGCGGGUGGCUGUCGUAAAGCUCACAUGUGGUGGUGGGGCUCAGCAGCAUUUGGCAAAAAGAUUAUCGUAACAGUACAGCAGGCUUUUUAUUCAGCGAGCCAUUUCCCCACCCUGAAAUCUUUCUUGAUGGAGCUCCCACCACCUGACUCCAUCUUCCUGAAGGUUCUUGCUACAGCUCAGCAGAUGACAGUUGCUUUUCCUAAGGUCACAUGAUCUCCUCCAUAGCAGCCUACAUUUAAAGAUGAAGGAAGCUGUCAUUGAAGAGUAUACUGUCAUCUUACCAGUUCCUGUGUCUUCCAAACAAAGGAAACUCUGUACUUGCUUUAGUUCGUGAAUACAUUUCUGGAAUCUGGUAAAGAAUGAUUGGCUGGAAAGAUGGCUCAGUAGUUAAGCGCAUUUGUGUCUCUUGCAGAGGACCCCAGUUAGGUUCCCAGCACCCAGGGGGAUCUAUCUGAUGCCCUCCCUGACAACUUGGGUACCAGGCAUGCACAGGGUGCACAUACAUACAUGCAGAUAAAACACUCAUACACAUAAAAGAAAAUCUAUAAUUCUAAAAAAGAAGGCCAAUAUUUAAAAAGGUGCUGAAUAUCUAAAAGCUUUAAGACAAAUAGCAAAGGUAGGAGCCAGCCUUCGGGAAAUCCUCGGGUCUGGUAAUCCUGCUUGGAGAAGGAGUAGGUUGGAGCUAAGGAAUUGAAUGAGCAAGGCUGUGCCAACCUUCCCAUUCAUGCUCUCUUUUGAGACUUCCCUGACAUGUGACAUCAGCUAUCAAACACGGUAACUGAAUAUCAUUUCGUUUUGCCCAUUUCAUCUGAGAUCAUAUUUUUCAUCAAAAGGGCAUUCAGGGUGAAGACAAAAAUUUAAUCUCUUCUGUUUUUUUCCUUUUAAAAAAUAUUUAUUUUUAUUUUUCCUAAGGUGUAUGUGUCUAUGGGAGUAUACCCCAUGUAACUGUGGGCCCCAAGAAGCCAGAAAGGGCAUCAGAUCGCCUGGGGCUAGAGAUACAGGCAGUUGUGUGCUGACCAAUGUGGGCACUGGGAAUCCAACUCCAGGCCACUUCAGAGAGCAGCAAUUAACUCUUAAUUACUGAGCCAUCUCUAGCCUCAAAAACCUGUUCUCUAUACCAGCCAGUAUGGUGCUGGGACUUAUAAUAUGUACAUAUGCUAAUCAAUUGAUGUCUAACCCAGCUAGUGAGUAUAGCUGAUAAAUCCCAGGUGUUCGGCAGAAGUGGGCACCCUCUCAGUAGUUUAACUGCAGGGCCAGGAAUUGAACCUAGAACCUCAAAGAUGCUAGCUAAUAGAGUAUCUUUUUCCACAUUUAAAAAGAACUUUCUGAAUUAUAAAUGUUUUUCUUAUGUUAUUUAACAAUGCACACUGUUUAAAACUGAAUUCAAACCUUGGGGUUUCUCAGGAGCCGUUAACUGUACAGUUUGUGCUAACUCUGGGUGUGGAGCACCUUGUAAGACUCAGCUUUGGGCUUGCUUCUCUUUGCUACCUUUUAGCCUCGUUUCAUGAAACUGUUCAAAUAAACCAGACUUGCUUUUGUUGAAAGAAAAAAAAAAAGAAUGCUAGGUAAAUACUCCACCACUGAAUAAAUGUUCAGUGUACACACACCCUCAACCUCUCAGCCUCACACACACAAUAAAUAAAUAAAAAUAUAAUUUAAAAAUUCUUGUUUUAGGUGUGUAAGGUGAAAUACACUUGAAAUCUUGGCACUUAGGAGGUAGAGGCAGGAGGAACAGCCGCUCAAGGACAGCUUUGUCUACAUAUCGAGCUCCAGGCCAGUCUGGGCUAAGUGCAACCCUUUCUAAAUGAAAUGAGCAAAUAAGUUCCUAGUUUAUGAAAUCGGGGAAUUUAAGGGAUAAAAACAUGGAAUUCCCUGUGUUUUCUAGUCCCAGACUUUUAAGUUAUAGCACAUUCUUCUCCCCACCUUUUUUAGGUUUGUGAAGCCAGACUUAAUAAAAUCGAUUUUAAGCAAGAAAACUCCUUAUAAAUAAGAAACCAUUAGUAAGGCCCCCGGAAACCAGGAGCUGGCUUUCCUUCCCAUCUUGGACUUAUAUUUUGAAUGAGAGGGCCCACAAAGAGGGGGUGCUAAGCUUUCGCCUUGCUUCCUUGCAAUUGGUUUUUACUCUAUAAAUGACAGAAGUGUGUACUGUGUCAGCCUGCAAGCCCAGGAACUGUGCAUGUCUGGGAUCAGUCAACAGACUGCUCAUGUCUGGGACAAGCCAGGAAAAAUAAUGAACGAAUGAACGAACAAACAAACAAACAAAAGCCCUCUUGUUUUCUGGUUGAAGGAAGCAAUCAGAAAGUGGACAUAGACAGCCAUGCCUCAGAGAGAUUGUUAUUUAUCCAGGGCUAUUUUCUCGUUCUUUCCGGGUAGCAGGAGUAACCGAUUCCCAGCAGGCCUCAACAGGUGCUUCCCUGUUAUAGUCCACUCAAAGCUUGCCUCACUGAGCACAGUCUGACGGAGACGGAGACAGAGACGGAGAUGGAUGCUGUCUUUAUUUCACUUUGCAUGCCAUCCAAAUGGAUCACCAAAACAGGUAGACCAGAUCUCCAGAUGCCAUGGUGUCCUGUUCCUGCUCUACAGGAUCUCCUGACAGACAUUGUGGUGUCCUGCCUCUACUCUUCUGGACCUCCUGACAUUGUGGUGUUCUUGUUGUCUUUGUGUGUGUGUGUGCGUGCACUCUUCUUCCCUCUGGGCCACAGAACUUGGACAGAGAUAUGCUGAAGUAGAGAUCAGAAUCACCACAGUCCCUUCCUGCCUUUGUCCUGUGACAUGGGUUCUCCCAGCCACCACUGCUUGGCUCUCAAGAUUCUUAUCCCAGUAAAAGGAAUGGACACAUGCAGAGCUGUGCAUCACAGAUGUUUAUCCCAUUGCAGAGACAGAACGAGGGGUCAUUUGUGAUGAGCUUAUAAAGCUUCCCCGGGACGAUUGUGGAGCUCUCUGCUCACAUCUGUGCCCUUCGGAAAGAUGCUUCAGCUGCUGGGCCCAAGGGUUUCAAAUGGCCCUUCCUGGCCUGGCAAUUGAAGAGAAGAUGACCUUGAAAUCCCAGCUCCUUGGCCUCUGCUUCCCAAGUCCUGGAAUUUGAGGCAUGUUUCCUCACCCUGGCCUUGAAUCGGAGUCUUCUUUGGGAUCUUCCCAGCUUUAUAUUUCUGAUCUGGUCACAAAGCAGAAGCAGAAGGCAUCGGUUGCGUCUCUGUGAAAAAGAAUGCCAGCUGGAAUGAACACAGUUAGGGAAAGCAAAGAUAGGAAGACCAACUCUGUGAAGAGGAACUCCAGAAAGACGCUGUGACUGCAGAGACAGGCACUGUUAGAACAUCAGUGCUGUGGGGAAGCUGGGCGGUGGCCAGUCCAAAAGCUGGUUACCUCAUCCUGGUGCCUAUCCUUGCCCACUUCUGGGUCAGAACUAACAGUUUGUGACUAACAGAUGGGAAUCUUUUAGAAUCUAUUAACUUCGAAGACCAGUAGCUUCCACCAACCCCACAGCUAAGAAUGUCAUCAGACACUAUCUUGGGUCAAGAGCAAAUCUUCUUCAGUUGGCUGUAACUGUUUCUUAAAUGUACCCACCUAUGGAGUUGAACUUGCCUUGAUUUAAGACUUCUUUGUUCUAUAGAACCAUGAAACAACUUACACCUUGGAACAUGGAAUUUGGAGUAGCCAAAAUCUAUGUUCCUCAGUCAUGGUCACUGGAAAUAGCUCCAGAAUAAACUAUCUCCCAUUCCCCUUUAGAUGAGAGCUGUGAUGGGGUGUGUGUGUAACAACUCUUAGUUUGUUAAGACAUAACACAUGGGGGCUGAAGAGAUAGCUCAGUUGGUAAAGUGCUCACCUUGCAAACACGAGGGCCUGAUUUUUGUCCUCAGAAUCUUCAAAUAUUAAAAAGUUGGGGCAUGUUAGCAACCUCAGCACUAGGGAAGUAGGAACAGGAGGACCCCUGGGAAAGGAGAUAGACAGAACUUAAGAAAUGGCACUUGAGGCUGAUCAUGGUGGGGUGUGCCCUUAAUCCCAGUGCUUGUGUGGCAGAGUCAGAUGAAUCUCUGAGUUCAAGGCCAGCCUGUAGCAAGUUCAGGACAGCAGGGCUACAUGCUGAGACCCUGUGCCUUCACUUGGUUUCUGGUGCAGUGAUUCAGAGCAGGUUGGGCAAGGGAAUAGUCAAGUUCAUCUCCCAGUCCAUCACUGAGAGAAGUCGGGGCAGGAACUCAAGAUGGGAGCAUGGUGGCAGGAACCGAAGCCAGGCCAUGGAGAACAACUCUUACUGGCUUUGCUCCUCCUGGAUUACCAAGUUUGCUUUCUUGUACAACCCAGAACCACCUGCCAAAAGAUUGGCACCACCCACAGUGGGCUGAGUCCUCCCACACCAAUUUUUAAUUAAGAAAAUGUCCUAUUAGCUCAACUACAGGCCAAUCUUAUGUAGGAAUUUUCUCAGUUGAGGUUCCGUCCUCUCAGACAGCUUGUGUCAAGUUGACAAAAAAGACAAUCAACACACCCUGCCUCAAUAAAUAAACAGAACACAUGAGGAUGUCCUUUAACUUCCAUGCACACACACACACUCAGAUGAACACACACACACACACACACACACACACACACACACACACACACACACGCACACACACGAGACUGUCCUUUGACUUCCAUGUGUGCUUGCAUACACACACACACAAACACACACACACGCUCCACAGAACAGAUACAUAAAUGACUUGAUGUCCAGCCCUUCAGCAAUUGCCAUCAGGCAUCCCUAUGUGGGGAUAAGCAGAGGUAGGAGCCAGGAGUAAAGGCUACUUUUUUUUCUUUUUCCUUCUUAUCCACUUUGCUUCUGUUUCAUUCCGAGAGGCUUUCACACCGGAGUCUAGACUUCAUGAGGAAGAUAAUUUUGGCAUUUGAUUGCCUUUUGUAGUUUGGGUUGUGAAAUUUCCUGUGACAGACAGAACAAUCCACCCUCUUCAAUUUUAUGCAGAUGUAAACUCAGUUCCACUUAAAAACAAUUUUUUUUUUGAGAGCGCCUUUGUUUCCUCUGUAGUAGAAAAUUGUGAAAGUUUUUGAGUUAGGAAUAAAACCUUACUUUGACUUCAAAAGAUAUAAUUAAGGGUCCAAGGCAUAGUAUUCUAAUUAGCUUUAAUUGUUGAGAGCCUUAACAGAGGAGUUGCCUAGAUAGGAUAGGCCUGCGCACACUCACUGUCUUCAUUGUUAAUUGAUAUAGAAGGAUUCAGUUCACUGUGGGUGGCACCAUUUCCUGAGCAGGUGGUCCUGGAUGCUAAGAAAAGCUAGCUGAGUAGAAGCCAGCCUGGAAAACAACAAGCAGUGUUCUUUGUGGCUCCUGCUGCACUUCUUUGCCUGUGAGUUCUUUGGUGGGGGCAAUACGUUAUGGAAGAGAGCAGGCUGCCUUCAAGUGUCUGCCUUAACUUCUGCUAAUGAUGCACUGUGAUCUGCAGUACAAGCCAGAAAAACUGGCGGGAGGAUUUAAUCACAGCAACAGAAAGUAAAUUAGAAUACAUAGUAACAUGAAUAGGUAAAAAAAAUGAAGGUGUAAUUAGGCCUCAAAUGGCAAAGAAUGGCUGUAUUAGAGUAAGAGACAUGAGGCCAGAGCCUUCAGGUUGGUGAGCUAUGGGUACAUGCUUCUCAAAUCCCACUUAGAAAUGGCGGUAGGAAAUAAUAAAGUGUACUGCAUGUAGAUAAAUGGUGUAUUAUUCCAG
ensembl:lncRNA